rnacentral:rRNA from 1 species
UACGGAGGGUGCAAGCGUUAUCCGGAUUCACUGGGUUUAAAGGGUGCGUAGGUGGGUUGGUAAGUCAGUGGUGAAAUCUCCGGGCUUAACCUGGAAACUGCCAUUGAUACUAUCAAUCUUGAAUACCUUGGAGGUGAGCGGAAUAUGUCAUGUAGCGGUGAAAUGCUUAGAGUAUGACAUAGAACACCAAUUGCGAAGGCGCUCACUACACGGUCAUUGACACUGAGGCACGGAAAG